rnacentral:tRNA from 1 species
GGCUUUGCCAGUGGCGAGCGAAUAAAUCACCGGUCUCCAAAACCGGGGGUCGCAGGUUCGAGCCCUGUC